rnacentral:rRNA from 1 species
GCAUAACGCGAAGAACCUUACCAGGUCUUGACAUCCCAUUGACCACUAUGGAGACAUAGUUUUCCCUUCGGGGACAACGGUGACAGGUGGUGCAUGGUUGUCGUCAGCUCGUGUCGUGAGAUGUUGGGUUAAGUCCCGCAACGAGCGCAACCCUUGUUCUUAGUUGCCAUCAUUUAGUUGGGCACUCUAAGGAGACUGCCGGUGACAAACCGGAGGAAGGUGGGGAUGACGUCAAAUCAUCAUGCCCCUUAUGACUUGGGCUACACACGUGCUACAAUGGACGGUACAAACGGUUGCCAACCCGCGAGGGGGAGCUAAUCCGAUAAAACCGUUCUCAGUUCGGAUUGUAGACUGCAACUCGCCUACAUGAAGCCGGAAUCGCUAGUAAUCGCGGAUCAGCAUGCCGCGGUGAAUACGUUCCCGGGUCUUGUACACACCG